rnacentral:lncRNA from 1 species
CGUUGUCAGUUUAUUAUCGAACUAUGAGUUUGAUUGUCUCUCUGAUGUCUUUUGCCCCUCUCUUGUCUUGUAGUCUUGUUGUAUUAUUUCGCUUCGGGUGUUUGACGAAAAUGCUAAUCCAAACGAUCGUCAUGAUUGAAGAACUCUUUAACGUAUAUUGUUUCAAUCAAAAUGUCUUCACUUCGUAAAGUACAAAAAUAUGUUUUUUUACCAACCAUCUGUUUCAUUGAUUUUAAAAACAAGCACACGUAUCAAGAUAUGAAUGAGAUGUUCAAUAAAC